AUGCUCAACGAGCUGGGCCUCGACUUCGACUUCGUCGACAUCGACCUCCGCACCGGCAUCGACCUCCGCACCGGCACCCACAAGCACCCCGACUUCCUCAAGCUCAACCCUUGGUAUACGCGCAUCAGUCUCGGUAGCAGUAGGAUUUACUCGCACCGGGUCACCGACCGGAUGUAUCUUGUUCUUCUGUUCACCCGAGCUCGACAGGCUGCUCGAUCGUGUCGACGAGCGGGAUCCUCCUGGCGGCUGCUGCUCCUCGGCGUCCAUGAGCUGGGCUCCUCGAAUCCCGUCGUCGCCCUCCACGAGCGGGUUCCUCCCGGCGGCCACUGCUCGUCCACGAGUGAGUUACCUUGGACGUUCAUGCUUCUUCUCUGGUGUAUAUUCAAUUCAACAUAUGGUGGUUCUUCAGGUAGCCUUGGCGUGCAUUUUCAGUUCAUCUUGCAGGUGAAGGAGCUCCCCUUCAGUUUAUCUUGCAGGUGUGUUUGGGCAGUACAAACACAUCACCAUAGUUUGUACAGAUUAUCUCUGGAUCCAAAGAAAGAAAGAAAUCUCCAGCCAACUUGCCUUGAAACUAAUCAAGCCCUAUUUUUUGUUGUCACCGAGCAACAAGAAAACAGCCCCCAGGCCGUUCACAGCCGCCACCGAGGCCGUUCAACUAGGGGUCCUUCAACAACGCAGCAUAUGGUCCUCCUCGCCGGAUGUUAUGCACUUCCUUUGAUUUUCGUGCGUGUUCUUGUAACACAAUCAGUUCACAUGUCGAGAUACCAUAAGUUCAAGUUCACUAUUCACUUUGAUUCCUACAGGUGGUUCAAUGUGUCGAGCGGUGGCAGCGCUUGCUCCCAAUGGUUGCUCGCGCAAGGAGGAUACAGGGAUGCUACAUUGCAGGAGGAGCAGUAG
rnacentral:rRNA from 1 species